GAUGAAGAACGUAGCGAAAUGCGAUACGUAAUGUGAAUUGCAGAAUUCAGUGAAUCAUCGAAUCUUUGAACGCAUAUUGCGCUCUCUGGUAUUCCGGAGAGCAUGCUUGUUUGAGUAUCAGUAAACACCUCAACUCCCUUUUCUUUUUUGAAAUUGGAGCUGGACUUGAGUGAUCCCAACGCUUUCUUCCAAGAAAGUGACGGGUUGCUUGAAAUGCAGGUGCAGCUGAACUUUUCUCUGAGCUAUAAGCAUAUCUAUUUAGUCUGCCUAAAAAACAGAUUAUUACCUUUGCUGCAGCUAACAUAAAGGAGACUAGUUCUUGUGCUGACUGAUGCAGGAUUCACAGAGACAGCUUCGGCUGACUUUGUAAACUCGAUCUCAAAUCAAGUAAGACUACCCGCUGAACUUAAGCAUAUCAAUAAGCGGAGGA
rnacentral:misc_RNA from 1 species